GUGUCAGCAGCCGCGGUAAUACGAAGGGGGCUAGCGUUGUUCGGAAUCACUGGGCGUAAAGGGCGCGUAGGCGGUUGGGGAAGUCCGUGGUGAAAGCCUGUGGCUCAACCACAGAAUUGCCUUCGAUACUGCAUGGCUUGAGACCGGAAGAGGUUAGUGGAACUGCGAGUGUAGAGGUGAAAUUCGUAGAUAUUCGCAAGAACACCAGUGGCGAAGGCGGCUGACUGGUCCGGAUCUGACGCUGAGGCGCGAAAGCGUGGGGAGCAAACAGGAUUAGAAACCCCUGUAGUCC
rnacentral:rRNA from 1 species